UGAUGUUUCAAGCUCAAAGACUGUUGCUUGUAGCACCAGAACAGACUCUGGAAAAGGUAAAAAGGUCUUGUCACAGACUGAGCAAGAUCUCUUUAAGGAAGAUAUAUGUUUUUCAUGAUUGUGGAAAAUGAACGAAAAGAAAAUCAAAACUCUAAAAAUCUAUAAGUCUUUGUCAUACCUGAAAGUUGUUUAUAAAAGGGCUACCAGUGCAAAUGGUUGUACUGCAUAUUGCUUUACAACAGCAGCUAUUGUAGCAGUCGGACUAGGUGCAAUGCAGAAGGAAUGAACUUGAG